UCCUCAGCUCUCCAAAAUUGCUGCCUCUCUUCCCCUCACCUUCCUGACUGACCUCCCAGCCUCCUAGCAGUGUGACCAGAGACAGAGGGAUGUGUCCCAAAUGGCACCCUAUUCCCUAUAUAGUGCACUACUUUAGACUAUGGGCCCCUCCUCUCUAUGAGCCCCUCCUCUCUAUGGGCCCCUCCUCUCUAUGAGCCCCUCCUCUCUAUGAGCCCCUCCUCUCUAUGGGCCCCUCCUCUCUAUGAGCCCCUCCUCUCUAUGAGCCCCUCCUCUCUAUGGGCCACUCCUCCCUAUGGGCCCCUCCUCUCUAUGGGCCCCUCCUCCCUAUGGGCCCCUCCUUCCUAUGGGCCCCUCCUCCCUAUGGGUCCCUCCUCCCUAUGGGCCCCUCCUCCCUAUGGGCCCCUCCUCCCUAUGAGCCCCUCCUCCCUAUGGGCCCCUCCUCCCUAUGGGCCCCUCCUCCCUAUGGGCCCCACCUCCCUAUGGGCCCCUCCUCCCUAUGAGCCUCUCCUCCCUAUGGGCCCCUCCUCCCUAUGAGCCCCUCCCCCCUAUGGGCCCCUUCUAACCCUAUGGGCCCCUCCUAACCUGACUGGGUUACCAGGUGUCCUAACCCAGUUGUUUAAUGUUACCAGGUGCCCUAACACAGCUGUAUUGGGUUACCAGCUGUCCUAACCCAGCUGUUUUAGGUUACCAGGUGUCCUAACCUAGCUGUAUUGGGUUACCAGGUGUCCUAACCUAGCUGUAUUGGGUUACCAGGUGUCCUAACCUAGCUGUAUUGGGUUACCAGGUGUCCUAACCCAGCUGUAUUGGGUUACCAGGUGUCCUAACCCAGCUGUAUUGGGUUACCAGGUGUCCUAACACAGCUGUUUUAGGUUGCCAGGUGUCCUAACCCAGCUGUAUUGGGUUACCAGGUGCCCUAACAUAGCUGUAUUGGGUUACCAGGUGCCCUAACCCAGCUGUAUUGGGUUACCAGGUGCCCUAACAUAGCUGUAUUGGGUUACCAGGUGUUCUAAACCAGUUGUUUAAUGUUACCAGGUGCCCUAACACAGCUGUCCUAACCCAGCUGUAUUGGGUUACCAGGUGUUCUAAACCAGUUGUUUAAUGUUACCAGGUGCCCUAACACAGCUGUCCUAACCCAGCUGUAUUGGGUUACCAGGUGCCCUAACCCAGCUGUAUUGGGUUACCAGGUGCCUGUGGUGCUAGAAUGGUUGUCGUGCCUCAGUGCUGACAGACUGGUGCUAACACAGGUACAGUGGACUGAGUCCCUAGGUUGAGACCAUGCCUCUACUCUUCACAGUGUUCAACUGACAACACAUUGGGGUGCGUCCCAAAUGACACCCUAUUCCGUACACAGUACACUACUGGACCCUGGUCAAAAGUAGGGCACUAUUUAGGUAACAGGGUGCUAUAUUUUGAUUUGGGAUGCAGCCAUUAACUGAUAAAAAAAAUGUUGAUGUUCUCUGAAGUGGUUGACUAACUAACGGUUGCUGAUAAUCGAUGGUUUGAAAUAGUUGGAAGUGGAUCCAAACUUUACUUGUCUGUGGAAAUCAUAGAGUUGGAUAGAGGGCUCAUCUUCACAUCUGUUACAUAAAGGAUACUGUGACAGCAUGGGCAGCGCCAUUGAGGUCUUUCUACAUUUUAGAGUAGUUUCUACUACUACUUUUUCUAUGAGUCAGUGAACAAACUGAAAGGGUGCGUACUGCCCCCUGGAGGGUGUUGUCUGAACAGGUAUAAAGACAAGGUUGGUGAUUUACUGCCCCCCUGGAGGGUGUUGUCUGAACAGGUAUAAAGACAAGGUUGGUGAUUUACUGGCACCUGCAGUUAUGUAAUGUUAGUAUAGUAUAAUUCAUUGGCUGAUCAGUCCUACUGACCUGGAUGGAAUUCGGUAAUCCUUUUCUAACCCAUAGCAAGUCCCAGCCAGUUGACUACUUCAAAAUGGUGGAAGUCCUGGGCUCUGCCCAUGCUACAACAGGCUUUGUGUCGCUAGAGCUGUCUAUCCAAGUCUAUGGUGGAAAUUCCGCCUGUUUCUGCUGUGGUAGUCCCAAAUGGCACCCUAUUCCCAAUGUAGUGCAGUGCUUUGAUCAGAGACCAUAGGUUCACCUCCAUAGGUCAAUAGCUAGUGCACCAUAUAGGGAACAGGGUUUCAUUUGGGACACAAUAUGAUUCUGUACAAUACUGUAUCAAGCCUAGUCUAGCCAACUUUACAGUGAAGAUUGUAAUUACAAGUGAUGAAAAAAUAUAAAUACUAAAUAUAAUGUGCUAGUGAAGAUAAUAUUUUUUUUUAUUUUCUGUCAAAUUGAUGCAUAUAUAUAUAUAUAUAUAUAUAUAUAUAUAUAUAUAUAUUAGAUAUAUAUUUAUCUCAGAAUUGUUUUUCUGUGUGUAUAUAUUCAUGGCCUUUUCUGCUGUUAAGGAAAUCAAUGAACAAAUCGAUGUAAACGUAGUUAGAUAAAGUAGUUAGAUGAUGUAGUUAGAUAACGUAGUUAGAUAACGUAGUUAGAUGAUGUAGUUAGAUUAUGUAGUUAGAUGAUGUAGUUAGAUAACGUAGUUAGAUGAUGUAGUUAGAUGAUGUAGUUAGAUGAUGUAGUUAGAUGAUGUAGUUAGAUGAUGUAGUUAGAUAACGUAGUUAGAUGAUGUAGUUAGAUGAUGUAGUUAGAUAAUGUAGUUAGAUGAUGUAGUUAGAUGAUGUAGUUAGAUGACGUAGUUAGAUGUUAGAUAACAUAGUUAAAUGAUGUAGUUAGAUAACGUAGUUAGAUGAUGUUGUUCGGUAUUGUACAAAAGAAAAGAGUAGAGCCGAACGAGGAGAACAGAUUGUGUGUCGUCAAACUUAAAAAAAAACGGGUUUUUAAACAUGUUUUCUUUCUCAA